rnacentral:rRNA from 1 species
UCCUACGGGAGGCAGCAGUAGGGAAUCUUCCGCAAUGGACGAAAGUCUGACGGAGCAACGCCGCGUGAGUGAUGAAGGCUUUCGGGUCGUAAAACUCUGUUGUUAGGGAAGAACAAGUGCUAGUUGAAUAAGCUGGCACCUUGACGGUACCUAACCAGAAAGCCACGGCUAACUACGUGCCAGCAGCCGCGGUAAUACGUAGGUGGCAAGCGUUAUCCGGAAUUAUUGGGCGUAAAGCGCGCGCAGGUGGUUUUUUAAGUUUGAUGUGAAAGCCCACGGCUCGACCGUGGAGGGUCAUUGGAGACUGGGAGACUUGAGUGCAGAAGAGGAAAGUGGAAUUCCAUGUGUAGCGGUGAAAUGCGUAGAGAUAUGGAGGAACACCAGUGGCGAAGGCGACUUUCUGGUCUGUAACUGACACUGAGGCGCGAAAGCGUGGGGAGCAAACAGGAUUAGAUACCCUGGUAGUCCACGCCGUAAACGAUGAGUGCUAAGUGUUAGAGGGUUUCCGCCCUUUAGUGCUGAAGUUAACGCAUUAAGCACUCCGCCUGGGGAGUACGGCCGCAAGGCUGAAACUCAAAGGAAUUGACGGA